GUUAUUACAGGAAAUGAUCAUGUUUUGAUCUCAAAAAUCAAACAACACUUGUUCAGUCAUUUUCAGACUAAGGAUUUUGGGAAGCUAAAGUAUUUCUUGGAGAUUGAAGUGACACAAUCCAAGACAGGUAUCGUUAUUUUUCAAAGGAAAUAUGCUUUGGAUAUUAUAUUGACAAAGAUGGGCAUGUUAGACUAUAGACACGCAGAUACUUCGAUGGAUCCAAAUGUCGAACUUGUUCCUGGACAGGGGG
rnacentral:misc_RNA from 1 species